GUCGUGAAGAGGAAGAAAAGAGGGUUUAAGAGCGGUGGUCUUGGGAAUAUGGAGAAAAGCCAAAAAUCAUGUCUCUAGAAAUAGGGGUUGUCAUUUGGUUCGCUUUUUCCCGAUGCCUCCCUGCCUAUUCUUCUCAGAUGCUCCUUCCUAUUCCUUUCGAUU
rnacentral:pre_miRNA from 1 species